GUAGGUGGCAAGCGUUGUCUGGAAUUAUUGGGCGUAAAGCGCGCGCAGGCGGUUCUUUAAGUCUGAUGUGAAAGCCCACGGCUCAACCGUGGAGGGUCAUUGGAAACUGGAGAACUUGAGUACAGAAGAGGAAAGCGGAAUUCCACGUGUAGCGGUGAAAUGCGUAGAGAUGUGGAGGAACACCAGUGGCGAAGGCGGCUUUCUGGUCUGUAACUGACGCUGAGGCGCGAAAGCGUGGGGAGCAAACAGGAUUAGAUACCCUGGUAGUCCACGCCGUAAACGAUGAGUGCUAAGUGUUAGGGGGUUUCCGCCCCCCUUAGUGCUGCAGCUAACGCAUUAAGCACUCCGCCUGGGAGUACGGCCGCAAGGCUG
rnacentral:rRNA from 1 species